GGGGGGGGGGGGGCAGAGGGAGAAGGCGGCAGUUUGAGGAAUGCAACUAUCGCUUCUUGCCGAGGCGGGAAGGCAAGUUAUGGACGGUCUCCCUGUGCUAGUCUCUCGGCCAUUUUGCACCAGGUAAAGUAUAUUGAACCGGACUGCAAAACAUUCUGUAUUUAGGAGCUGGAUUAAGAACACUCAACGAACAACAACUUAUACAGAGUUUGUCCCUCCUUCCAAAACAAGAAUUCCAAUCUCUUCACAAAGACUGUUACAGGGAUUCUUCCAGGCAAUGCUGUAAAGAAGGCCAUUAUGAUUACACCCAUAUUACAGAUGGAGAGCUGAGGCUCAAAGUACAACUUGUUCAUAGCAAACAGUUUUGUGGCCAAGCCAAAAUCUCCAGGAAGUUCUUCCCUCUCUUUGUUGUUACAAUAUAUUAUUUGAUUCUGAACCAGGCAAUAGAAUGUAGAUUUUAAAAAUCCACGUAAUAGGACCAGAAAAAGAGAGAGUAGAUUUUUCCAUAAGCUUGGGGGAAACUGAAGGAAAAUCUGAUAAUAAACUAUGUAGGGGCUUAGGAAAA